CCGCCAGCCUCAGCCUCCCAAAGUGCUGGGAUUACAGGCAUGAGCCACUGUGCCCGGCCACUUGUUUGGAUCUUAAACCAGAAUUCCCUCUUCUGUUCUCCUGGGAUCACGUGAUGUGGAUGCCCCGGUGCAGUUUCCACCGAGACUCCCUGAUGACCACAGCCAGCAAGCUCAGCUUCCGUGGAAAUGAGCAGAUGGUCGUGUGUCUGGCCUGUGAGUCAGUCUCUCCCCUGAAGCCCGGCCCAGGACGCGGCCCUGAUGACGGGUUUUGUGUGGAUUUUCCCCUCUGCGUGAGACUUUUCCUCUCCAGCUCAUAAGAAGUAUUUUGGACAGUGACCUAAAUAAUUUCUCCGACAGAAGAAGCAUGAUCUGAUCAACUGUGAUUGACCAAGCGUGGACUCAUAACCCUGCUUCCGAAAGCAUUGAUCGUCGGUACGAUGUCUACAUUUGUGUGAGAUCAGACUCUGCCUUCUAUAACCACGCAGUCAACACUCAGAAAGGAUGGCACGACCAUCCUCUGGGCGCGGCUGGUGGAGAUGAUGAAACCAGUUUUUAAAUGGUGAUUUAUUUUAAAGGCAAGUGUUCUCCAGCAGCAAAUUAGCAGAGAGAAGCCCAUUCCUCCUAUUUCCAAAAGAAAGAGAUUUUGAGGGAGAUCUUAGCUCACCUGAGGGGUUUGGAUCAGAAAAAUUCUGUGGCUUAUAAAGUCGUUUGUUAUUUUGCUGUGAUUUUAUACACAAUGGAAGGGUGAGGAAAAGGUCAGCAAUAACUCUGCGGCUGCAUUUUAGCUUGAAAAAAUGUAAUAUUGAUCGAUAGGAAAAUGGAAAAAGCGCAACUAUUAGCGCCUUACUUGAUCUUCUCCGACCUUUACCCCUCCGCGCUGGUUUUAUUCUUAAAUGUUAUGCCUCCUGUUCAAAGGUUUGUCCUGCUUAGUCUUUUAUUUAAUUAAUCCAUGAUCUUCCUCACUCUCUCUAAUGUCGAGACAAGACCGGCUCCUGAUUUCCCUGCUGUGCUCCCGAGUCUGGGUCACACGCAACUUGGAGCCCCGAAAGAGCUGCGGUCUGCGGGCAUUAACCCUCCAUCUUCCUGCGCAUUGCUGGAGGGAACGGCUGCUCCGCCCAGAUGGCUGUGCUGGUGGCGGCUCCGGCUGUGCUGGUGGCGGCUCCCUGAGCCCUGCCCCCUGCAGCGUCCCACGUGAAGCCCCGGGGAGCUGGAGCUGCCUCCUCUGCGGGGAAGAUGGCUCCUCACCGCCUGGCGGGGCCCUGACACCACAGACCCAGGCCCUGGUGCCAACUCCUGCUGCUCAGGGACUGAACAUGGCCCAGACGGUCCUGGGUGAGGCAUGGCACGAGGGAGUGCCAGGGGCGCCCCACGUCUAGCAGACACUGUCGCUCUGUGGCAGAGUCCCGGCCCCAUGUUCACCCCAGCCCUGCUGAGGCCUUCAGGACGGGGGCAGAGACCAGAGCCCCAAGACCUGAAGACGGAUUGAGUUGAGGGCAUCAGAGGCUCGCCAGGCCUUGGGACGAGUGUGUCGGCACCUGCUCUGGGUUGAUAGUGUCCCCAGAAUUUACAUCCACCUAGGACCUGUAUUGUGGCCUCACUUGGCAACGUGGCUGUUUCCCAUGUAAUCAAGGUAACACCAAGACUAUGAGAAGGGCGGAUGUGGCUUCUUCUUUA